rnacentral:misc_RNA from 1 species
AACGGCAGGAUCGGUCGCUGC